rnacentral:rRNA from 1 species
CGGAUGAAGGGAGCUUGCUCCUGGAUUCAGCGGCGGACGGGUGAGUAAUGCCUAGGAAUCUGCCUGGUAGUGGGGGAUAACGUCCGGAAACGGGCGCUAAUACCGCAUACGUCCUGAGGGAGAAAGUGGGGGAUCUUCGGACCUCACGCUAUCAGAUGAGCCUAGGUCGGAUUAGCUAGUUGGUGGGGUAAAGGCCUACCAAGGCGACGAUCCGUAACUGGUCUGAGAGGAUGAUCAGUCACACUGGAACUGAGACACGGUCCAGACUCCUACGGGAGGCAGCAGUGGGGAAUAUUGGACAAUGGGCGAAAGCCUGAUCCAGCCAUGCCGCGUGUGUGAAGAAGGUCUUCGGAUUGUAAAGCACUUUAAGUUGGGAGGAAGGGCAGUAAGUUAAUACCUUGCUGUUUUGACGUUACCAACAGAAUAAGCACCGGCUAACUUCGUGCCAGCAGCCGCGGUAAUACGAAGGGUGCAAGCGUUAAUCGGAAUUACUGGGCGUAAAGCGCGCGUAGGUGGUUCAGCAAGUUGGAUGUGAAAUCCCCGGGCUCAACCUGGGAACUGCAUCCAAAACUACUGAGCUAGAGUACGGUAGAGGGUGGUGGAAUUUCCUGUGUAGCGGUGAAAUGCGUAGAUAUAGGAAGGAACACCAGUGGCGAAAGCGACCACCUGGACUGAUACUGACACUGAGGUGCGAAAGCGUGGGGAGCAAACAGGAUUAGAUACCCUG